UUUUUAUUUUUCAUUGGACGGUUCGGAUGAACUUCGCCAUUUUUUCCCAACUAAAAUAUAAAAGGGUUAUAUCACGUUGAGAUUUCAAUUCGUUUUCGACGAUUUCACUCACAAAGAUAUGGGGAAAUUUGUAACUCCCAUUUAGAC